CGUAGGCCUAACAGGAUCUGGGUGAAAAAUCUGCUGGGUGCUUCUGGAAAAGGAUUUUUUCCCCGUGAGAUGAGUCACAUGGUUAUAAGGAUCCCAUUCCAGAGAGGGUCCUGCCCCAUACCCAGAAGGAAUGCAUGCUCUGAGAGACCAAGAAGAAUCAAGACAGCCCCCUUAUUCCAGAGAGGGUCCUGCCCCAUACCCGGAAGGAAUGCAUGCUGAGAGAGACCAAGGAGAACCAAGAGAGCCCCCCCUCCAUUCCAGAGAGGGUCUUGUCCCAUACCCGGAAGAAAUGCAUGCUCAGAGAGACCAAGGAGAAUCAAGACAGCCCUUUUUGGGUUUCCCCACUCAGUCUAUUAGCAUUUACAUUGUACACUUUUUGUUCAAUCAUAUUUCUACACCGCUGUCCAUACUUUGUUGAACCUAAGCUUAAAAAACGGACAAUUUCCCCUGCAGCUUUGGGUCUUCAUUCUGAAGGCUCUCGUGCAAACACAUUAAAUAAAUCUGCCUGCCUUUUCUCC
rnacentral:lncRNA from 1 species